GCCAGGCAUGGUGGCGGAUGCCUGUAAUCCCAGUUACUCAGGAGGCUGAAGCAGGAGAAUCGCUUGAACCUAGGAGGCAGAGGUUGCAGUGAGCCGAGAUUGCACCACUGCACUCCUGCCUAGGUGACAGAGCGAGAUUCUGUCUCAG
rnacentral:SRP_RNA from 1 species